rnacentral:tRNA from 1 species
AGAGAAGAAGCUAAACACAGCAAUUAGUUGUUACCUAAUAGAAAGUGAGUAAAUACCACCUUCCCUA